rnacentral:tRNA from 1 species
GAGGGUAUGGCUCAGUGGUAGAAUAAGUACUUAGCAUGCACGAGGUCCUGGGUUCAAUCCCCAGUAUCUCCA